rnacentral:rRNA from 1 species
UACAGAGGGGGCAAGCGUUGUUCGGAAUUACUGGGCGUAAAGGGCGCGUAGGCGGCCGCCUAAGUCAGACGUGAAAUCCCUCGGCUCAACCGGGGAACUGCGUCUGAUACUGGGUGGCUUGAGUCCGGGAGAGGGAUGCGGAAUUCCAGGUGUAGCGGUGAAAUGCGUAGAUAUCGGGAGGAACACCGGUGGCGAAGGCGGCCCCCUGGUUGGAUACUGACGCUGAGACGCGAAAGCGUGGGGAGCAAACAGG